UACGUAGGGUGCAAGCGUUAAUCGGAAUUACUGGGCGUAAAGCGUGCGCAGGCGGUUUUGUAAGUCUGUCGUGAAAUCCCCGGGCUCAACCUGGGAAUUGCGAUGGAGACUGCAAGGCUGGAGUCUGGCAGAGGGGGGUAGAAUUCCACGUGUAGCAGUGAAAUGCGUAGAGAUGUGGAGGAACACCGAUGGCGAAGGCAGCCCCCUGGGUCAAGACUGACGCUCAUGCACGAAAGCGUGGGGAGCAAACAGGAUUAGAGUACCCCU
rnacentral:rRNA from 1 species